rnacentral:rRNA from 1 species
AUUGAACGCUGGCGGCAGGCUUAACACAUGCAAGUCGAGCGAGCGGCGGACGGGUGAGUAAUGUAUGGGAAACUGCCUGCUGGAGGGGGAUAACUACUGGAAAAGGUAGCUAAUACCGCAUACCAUCAGAUGUGCCCAGAUGGGAUUAGCUAGUAGGUGGGGUAAUGGCUCACUUAGGCGACGAUCCCUAGCUGGUCUGAGAGGAUGACUAGCCACACUGGAACUGCGACACGGUCCAGACUCCUGCGGGAGGCAGCAGGGGGGAAUAGUGCACAAGGGGCGCAAUCUUGAUGCAGCCAUGCCGCGUGUGUGAAGAAGGCCUUCGGGUUGGAAAGCACUUUCAGCGAGGAGGCGUUACUCGCAGAAGAAGCACCGGCUAACUCCGUGCCAGCAGCCGCGGUAAUAC